rnacentral:lncRNA from 1 species
CAAACGCAGAGUAGAAAACACCUCAGCUCUGUCAGCUAGAAAUGAUAAUUAUUGUAGAAAAUAUAUUAUAUUUUGUGGGCCACAAAAAAUUCAGACAGCUGUGUUAAAACAAGUGGAAGAAGGGGCCAGCACGGUGUUCUCAGAAUGUCAUGACCUCGUUUGGAAGAAGCUGUGGAUGAGCACAGACAGCCCUGGCAGAACCUUCAAAUCCUGGACAUCUCAGUGGGAGCAGGAAAAAGAACAUUUAAAAAAUAAUUUCAUUUAAGAAAUGAAAUUAAGAAUUCUUUAAGAAGAGGUGAUCCCUUAAAAGGUGAGUUGAAAUAACUCAGAAUGG